rnacentral:rRNA from 1 species
UACGAAGGGGGCUAGCGUUGUUCGGAAUUACUGGGCGUAAAGGGCGCGUAGGCGGUGCCUCAAGUCAGGCGUGAAAGCCCCGGGCUCAACCUGGGAACCGCGCUUGAGACUGGAGUACUAGAGUUCGGGAGAGGAUGGUGGAUUCCCAGUGUAGAGGUGAAAUUCGUAGAUAUUGGGAAGAACACCGAUGGCGAAGGCAGCCAUCUGGACCGACACUGACGCUGAGGCGCGAAGGCCAGGGGAGCAAACGGGG